rnacentral:hammerhead_ribozyme from 1 species
AUUCAGCUGAGAAGUCCCAAAUAGGAAGAAACGCACGUCUUGGAU